rnacentral:lncRNA from 1 species
GUUCCUCCAAGAGAAGUAACGGGAUGGUCUGUGACAGCCCAGUGCCGAGCCUCGCGGGAGCCAGACGCUCCCAGGACCCAACCUGGGUGCCCUCGGCCCCGCCUCCGCUGGACCCCGGGGCAGAGGCAGCUGGGCCCCACGCUUUCCCCAUCCCCAUCCCGCCUGACAGCAGAUCCUAAGUGGAGGCCCAGGCCUCCGGGUCACAGGUCUGGGGGACACCGAGGCCUCGCCUGUGACCUUAUCCUGGGGCCAGGCUACCAGCCAGCUGCGCGAACAAGCUCUUGCGGCAGGGGGCAGGGCUAAGCACGCUGUGCCCAAGGCUGAGCGCCACCCUGGCAGGGGCCUCACUCCUCAGGUCUCUCCUGUGGCCCUCAGGGGACAAGGACGCUCUUUCCACUCAGCCAGGGAGUGCCCUGGCUGCUCUGCCCCUCUCCCCACAGGACCCCUUAACCUAGGGCCUCUCACACCUACAGGUGGCCAGGAACCCAGUGGGCCUCAGAAUGUGCAUUUGUACCGGGUUCCCAAGGCAUGCGGGGCCACGGGGCUGGGACCACAGAGGCUGACUGGCGGGAUCCGGGCUGAACUCCAGAGGGGAGGGCCUCUGCCCCCCGGAACCCUGGGAUGGAAGCAGCAUUUUGGAGGCUGAUUCCCAAGGAGGGGGAAGAAGGACGACACCGGGCACCCACCGCGGGCCUCGGAACAAGCGCCCGAACUUCUCCCGCCCCGGGCUUCAUCCACGCCUUCGCUGGCUUGUUUCCUCCGCACUGCACUCUGGAAGCUGUGGCCCUGAAUAGGCAGAGCAUCCUCUGCUGCCUGGAAGGACUUAGCCAGCCUGUGACAACCAGCGAAACCCUCAGCUGAGUCCAUGUAAGGAGCUCAGAUGCUCAGGACCGAGAGCCCAAAGUGAUGGCUGUGUACAAAGCUAUUACCCAUUGCUUCUUCAUGUACUAGCUGGGUGCUUUGGACCAAUUUUCAAAAGAGGAACCAGACUUAAAGUUGCUGGUGUUGGCCAAGUCUACACUUUGCACUGAUUGUACCUUCAAAUCACGCUAGAUCAUUCA